GAGGUGAAAAACGCUAUUUGAACCAGGGUUUUUUUGUUGGUUAAAAGUUGUCUUCUUCCUUCCUCUCUGCGCGCACGAACAUGAGAGCCAAGAGGAAGAAAACUUGAAAGGGCGAUGGUGGAGGAUCUCAAGUGGUAGCCGGACGACCUUUUGCAAGUGACCGUUCUGCCACACAAGUACAAGUUGAAUGUUGGGAGACUAUUAUUUAAGGAACGAAAAUGAGGUGAGCCAGUUAAGUGAGUAGAUCAGACUCGCAGAUAGGGAGUUGACUUGGCUACUCUAGUUAUAGGGCAUUCUGGAAUCGGGUUACGAUCACAGCAACGACAGCAGCCGAUCCUGAUCCCGGCUCUCGAUCACUGCAAUGGUAGCAACGCAAACAUGAUCUACUUCGACGGCACCACGAUCCUGAACAACACGUACUGACCCUUCAGACGCUUCGACACCUUCCUGAUCUACCUCGACGACACAAUGGUCCUCAACAACAAGUCCUGACCAUUCAGACGCUUCGGCAAUCCGGCCACCAGAUCAUUGCCGUCGCUGUCGCGACCACGCUUCGGCACCGAUCUCUCUAGUAUUUGCUGUUUCGACUCCUCCGCUAUGCGUGACUCGUCUUCCUCACACUCCACUGUGCAGAUUCUCUGACAAUCGCAGCAGCUUUGCCAACGAAAACUACCCGAACAACCUCUCUGUAUAGUCCAUAUCCAGAACAGAGUCCGAAACCAAAGGACCAAUGCUGCCGGUGAAGAUCGGCGGUUUCUUGACCAACUCUGAACUCUGAACUUCCAACCUAGAACUUGUCAACAACUAAUUUUGCUAUUUUGGAGUUGUUUUCUUGAUAAGGUUUUAUCAAUGGAGGACACCGGCGACCCCGGCAACUCUACGGCUACCGACCAUAUGACAUUCGACUCCAAUGAUUUCUCACACACUUCUCGACCGCGAUGCAUUAGCCCGGUGACUUUGUCACCUUCUCUCACAUUAUCUAAUACUUUAUUGGUUCCUCUUUGUCUCAUAAGUUACUAUUUGUUAGACAAGUAACAACAGACUUAAAUUGUACUGUACUCAUUUAUUCUACUUUUUGUUUUUUUUUUAGUGUAACACCCUAACUUGGGUCUAUCAGAGAGCACUACAUCACUUCUCCUU